rnacentral:lncRNA from 1 species
AGAUAAAAUUGAUACUAUUUUAAAUGAAAAGACUGUGUUAACUAAUGAUGGAGCGGUUCAACGCUUCCUUGUUCAUUGGGUUGAUUGACAAGAUUCUGACGGUAUAUGGAUCUCCAGAGAAAAACUACAGCAAUUGGACCCAAAUUUAUUGGAGCUUUAAUGAAGUCAGCAAGAUCUUCCUCGACCAAGAUCGCCUCACAUCCACUCAGGGGAAGAUAGUGAGGACACUAGAUUCAGACCUCCAUUGACACAUUUCUACGGACAUAAAAAAAAAUUGCCCAACCACUCAGCUUAUGGUUGGGAGAUUGACUACAGCUUCUCAUGAUCUAUCUAUGCGACAUUGUCGAGUUUUUUCUCCCACCCCAUGAGAGUUGAUUAGGACAUCCGUGUUACUUAUUUUCUAGCUGGACUUUAUUUAUUUAUGUUUUAAAUUUUUAUUAGGCUUGUAUAAAAGGUUUGGCCCAAACCCGAUCUCUUUAGGGUUUUGUUUCGCUAUUUAAGUUUAGUUGUCGUGGAAUUAAAAUAGUUGAUGAAUGAAUAAAAUUAUUUUGGUGGCUUGUGGCAAUUUUCUACCUUUUCUCCAUCUUUCUUCUAUUGGUUCUUCUGUUGAUUCUUCUUUUACCCCCGUUCUUCCCUUAAUUUUCUCUUCUCCAUAGAUCUGUUCUCGUUUUUAAUUAAGUGUUCCAAUUGGUGCUGCAUCAGGUAUAAGUAUAAAACUUGAAAUGCGUCUCUAAAUUCGCAUCUACUGGGAUUUCUACACAAAUCCUUUGAACAUUAAGGUUUUCCGAAUAACCUCCAAGUUUCUCUUCAUGAGGGACUCCCCUUUAUAUGAACAAGGGACACAAAAAACUUUGAUACUAACUAAGUCCUGGAUCCAACGGUGCGACUUCAUGCACCAGUCAAGUAGAAUCCUCAUCAGAACCCUCAUCCAAGCACCACAAAUUGAAACAGAAUCAUUUCCUCUCUGAAUCUAUUGCCAAAAUCAAGUGGUUAACGGAUUUAUAAGAGACAAAUACAAUGCAGCUUUUGUUACAAAAGUUCUUUGAAAGUAUAACUUGUUACAUCCACCUGAAGCUUUUUUCCACCAGUUCUGUUAUGGACCAUUUCAAGUUGCCAGAGCAGCAAUUAACAUACUUGGUUGACAUACCAAUACCAUCCUUCAAAAAUACCCUCUGAAAUCAACACUUAUGCGAACUCCUCAUGUGAUAAAACUUUCAAGCCUUAAUGAAUAUAUUAUGAUUUCCUCAAUCCUGCCUCCACCAACAAUAAUGACAAUAUAAUUAGGUUGACUUAGCUUUGAAAGAAUUCCACGAUGUGAAUUCUAUGCCUGUAAUCUUCACCAUUAAAAUAUUUUUCAAAUUUUCAUACAACCUUCAUCUUUCUUUCUCCAGAUAAGUAAUAAAUUUUCCAACUGGUUGUCAUAAGCCCUGCUGUAGUUGGAGGAAAAAGGUUGAUGCAUCCUCGCACCUUUUAGUUGAAUAUUCCCAAAAUACAAUUGGAAAGGAACCCUCCCAAAUGCAUUUCAGUCUAAAGUUUUGAAAAUCUAUUGGGUGGAAGUUAAUGGAGACAUUUAUGUAUAUUUAAAACAUUAGUUCCUUCAAGCAUCAUUUCCCUCAUGAUAGUAUAGCAACAUAAAAAACAGUUCACGGUCUAGCCAGGAGACUUUGAGAAUGACUACUUUGAAGGUAAAUUAACUAAGAACUUUAAAGGGCCAAGGAAAAGUAAUGUAGAUAACACUACCUGUAGGUCCCGUAUAGAAUGCAAGCUGUCUGCAACAGAAUGGUAUGCACAGGAAUAUUAGUUCAUUUCAAAGAGAAAAGAAGAUGAAAAAUGUCAUGCAAAAGCCUAAACUCUACUUCAGAACACUUACUCAGUCGCAUAACCCAGACGCUCCGCCAAGGGCGUAAUACCCACUAAGCUGAAGAAGAAGACAAACCCCUGAAACAGGCAAUGUCCAAAAGUUACACAUACUGAUGUUAAGAGGGAAUUUAUCAAAAAAAUGCAGCAUAACCCUUUUCCUAAUUAAUUGGACAGAGAUAUAAAAUUUCUGGGGGAAUUUUAUAGCUCUUACAUGUUUCUUGCUAAGAUAGUGCAGCGUUAUUGCAAUCGGCCCAAAUGGAAGCAAAACGUUUAUCUUUGCUUUGAAUAAAACAACAUAAAUACUCCUAAACAGACUGAUCCGCUGUAUCUUUCUAAGGACAGAUGAAGAGGAAACUUUCGAGGGAGAAAUGACAUGAUUUGCCUCAAAAUUGAAAGAUUGCCUUUUGUUUGUUGGCUGAGUUGAGUUCAAUGGUGUCUCCUCAUCAGAUUCAAGGUCGACCUUUUCCUCGAUAGAUACCAUAUCGUCUAACCCAGGCAAUUUCCCUGAUAAAUGGAAGAUAGUACAACACGUUUAUAUACAAUUUCAUCUAAUUUAUUAUGCAGACAAAUAGAUCCACUCACCUCAAUGUAAUGACAUACAAUGCUUGACCAUAGUAUCACUGCAACUGCAAAGGAAGAUUGAAAUCAGCACAUCAGACAACAAAGAGUCAACCUUAAAACUAAUUUAUGAUCUUAAAAGUGCAUAAAGACCCUAAGGGAAAACAGGAACGCUAAGAUUCAUACUAGAACUAAUGGAAAAUUUUACCAGCAUUAAGAUUUGAAAAAUGACCAUAAUGUCAAAAUUGAAGGUGAUGAAAAGUGUGAUGUCUUUCCCAAUCAAGUCCAACAUAGUCAAUAAAGAACUAAUAAUAUAACAAGAAAAUGUCCCAGAUCAAUUCAAAAAAAAACUAAAACUGUAGAAAAUUCAUAUCAAACCUGAAAACAAACAUUUAAUGACUGCUAUUAAAGAAGCAUAAUAUGCAAACGAAAACCCAGAUCAAAGAUUCUUUAAAACAGAAUUCAGAGGAGCCAAGACCCAAGAAAAAAACAAAAAAGAGAAGCAGUUGAUAUAUUGAAAGUUCUACCUUUCUGAUGUCAACAAAGAUUCUUGCUUUUAACUGAUCCAAAAUUUGAACCCACCAAAUUACCCAAAUAUUUUCUUAACAUAAAUACUAGACAUACAUGUACGUACAGAUAGUAGUCGAAGAAGUAUAGAGGGAAGUUCCUUUCAACAGAUUUGGAGAUAGGUCUCUGUUCUUGAGGUGGGAUAAUAGAUGUGAAUGAAUUUUAUGGGACCAGCACGGCAGCAAGAUGGGGAAGGAUGUUUCGCAGAAACAUCAUCUAACGUGCAAUUUUCAAUUUUAAUUUUUAAUUUCGAUUGAUCAAGAAUAAGUAUUAAUUGUUUAAUUUAAAAUAGGAAAAAUUGCAGCAAAGGUACCUAAUCUUUUAUUUUUUGCAGACUUUACCCUAACCUUCUUUCUAUACCAACGAAAGUCCAUAACCUUUCAUAAAUAUGCACCCAAGAUCCAUAUGGACGAAAACCAUCUAAAACACAAUAAAUUGAUUGGAAAAACUAAGGAAUCAGCGUUCAAUAAAAUCGUCCAAAACGCCGCAAAAAAUACCGUUCAAAAAAAUAUCAACAUCCAAUAAAAUUAUCGCGAUAGCAGAUAGUUCAAUGAAUUUUACCGAUCAACUGACGGUGUCUUGGAGAUGGACCUCAAGUGCAUAUUUAUGAAAGAUUAGAGACAUUUGUUGAUAUAAAAUAAAAUUUAAGGUAAAGUCUACAAAAAAUAAAAAAAGAUAGGACCUAUGAUGCAAUUUUCCCUUUAAAAUAUUUGAAGAUAGUGGAGAUUAGACGAGAAAAAUAAGUGGGCCUAUGGUAUGGGGAUACUUGGGUUGCCAGAUUGUGAUUGAUGGUAAUUUUUUACCUUUUCUCUAAUCUGUUCAAAAAGUAUCAACAAAUUAUAAGGUUAUUUGAAGCCCCGUUUGAUUCUCAUUUUUAUCAAAAUGUAUAUUUUUCUUUUUUUUAAUUAUACAUUUUUUACUAAAAUAAUAUUAUACAUAAAUAAAAAACUUUUUUUUAUUUUUAAUCCAUAUAUUUUUCAUCAAUCUAUUAUUCUAAAAUUCAUUUUUUCAAUAAAAUAGGUGUCAAACACAUCUCUCUUCGUGAUGCAUUAAUUUUUUUCUUAGCAAAUUUGAAUAAGCGGUUUUAAAAUCAUGAUCCAAACUUAAUUCCCACUUGAUAAAAUUUAUUUGGGAAGAAUGGGUUAUUGCAUAGUAAUUUUUUGAAGAAUGCAUGAUUAAAAAAUGAGAAAAUUUUAUUUUAUUAUGUGAAUGUGUAGUGAAAAAUGAUCCAGUAGUAAAUAAUUUAAUUUUUUAAAGGAUGACAAAUAUGACUUUAGUAAGACGUAUGUGAUACACAAAAUGAAUCUUCAAUUGUGUUGAUUCUUGUUCCAAACUUAAUUAUAUGAUGCACAAGAUGAAUCCCAAUUUUAAUUUAACGUAGGUAUGAUACCCAGAGAUCAAGAUGACUAAAAAAUAUUUGUGAUUAGCUCUCGAAUAAGUUGUAGUCGUGUAAGGGGAGAUUCUUGAUAUGGUAGAUUAGCUAAGUUUUGAAGAAGCGUAUGAUAUUCCUUAACUUUAGAAAGUUAAUGGAUAGAUAAUCAUUUAAGUGGGCAAAAAUGACAUGUUAAUUCAUUCGAGAGCGAUCAUGAUUGGACAAAAGCAAAAAAUGGUGACAAAAAUUCAAUAUGUUUACAUAUCUCAAAUUAGUCAUUAAAUUUCAAUUUGUUUCUAAUUUGUCACUAAACUUUCAAAAAUGUUAGCAAUCAAUCCUUUUGUUAGUAAACAUUAGUGAGAUUAUCACAUAAACUUGUGUCGAAUGAGAUGGCUUAUCCAACACUUAACAGAAGGAUCAUUGGACGAAGUUUAUGACUAAUUACAAAGUGAGGUUCAGUUAGCAAUUUGAAAGUACGUCAACGAGACAUAAAAAUGACGUUAGAUAUCCUUCUAAAUAGAAUAUGGAUUAAAUAUGCCAAUUUUCCUUGUUUCAUAAAAUAGCAGUCAAUUAUUAUUUUAAUUUGCAUUUUAAAAUUAAAAAAAAAAAAAUUAAUAUGGUCCAUACCUACCCUCGAGUGGGAGUUUCUAUAAAAUAAUGUUUUGAUGCAACAUGUCACGUGUACAUAGCUCAUGGUUUUGAAAUGUUAAAUUUAUAUAUUUUAUUUUCUUCUUGAAAAACACAAAGUUUUGUGAUUGUGUCUCACGCUCUUUUUCCUUUUAAAUUUCAUUUUCUUUUCAAAAACGUUUUAUAUUUAUUAUUUAUAUUUAUAUUUGAAGCAUAUAUUCGUUCCUUAUACAUCACAAGUGUUAUUGUGGAACUCGCAAGCGUAUGAAAUCGUCAACUAAAAAUAAUAUAGUGAUAAAAAAAUAUCGUCCCGCAAGAAAUGCAUUGGUGGAGCUUCUAAGUAGUUAAUUGAAGAUGGAGACAAAUCAAGGCUUUUGUACCAAGGGAAUGAGGGCUGUGCUGCAAAGAUCUCCAAUCUGAACCUCCUCAUCCACUCUCCCCUCUCUCUUCUCUAGGUACUAUUACAUGGGCAUAGGCUAAUAAAACCUAGGAAAACCUCAUAAUUGUUCAAUAUAAUGAUCCAAAGACUACCUUACCAGUCUAAUGCAUAUUUUAACAACAUUUUUACGUCUACAAAUAGUAGAGCAGAAAUAUGACAAAGGCGUAGCUCAAACUCAUGUCUUAAUUUAUUAAAGAAAAACUUGCUGUCAUUAUUACUUUUAUCGAUAUUGCAUAAGUAACACGGGUAAAAAAUCAUUAGGUCAGCUACAAAGUUAUAUGAUAUUUCAUUAAGGUUAGCAAAAGAGUUUAUGCUUUAAUGCAUUGUGACAGUACUAGUCUUUUUUUGUCUCAUCGUUCAUCCUUUUUUUUUUUUGGCGGGCGGAAGUUUGGGAGAGAAUGUAGUAUAUAACCUGUAUGGCAUCAACUAGAUACCCAGACAAAACUGAUAUGGACAGUGUCAGCAUAGCAAGCCACCCAAUUGCUUCCCACUGGGUAAUCUCAGGGGCCUCAUCUUCUACAGAAUCUUCUUCAUUAUUCUCCCUCGGCUGUGACAAAUGCCAUAGAAAUUUAACCAGGUCAAUGAAAUCCAUAGUCUAAAUAAAUCUUUUGCAAAUGCAUGCGUUGUUUUUUAAGCCAGUCAAGUUCCAAUUUCAUAAAAUCUUCAAAAGAUAAAUUGAAAAGCAUGCAUGAUAUCUUAUGCAAUACUUAUGUUACAAGAUCUCUGGUACACUAUCAGUUUUAACAAAGAAUAAAAAUGAGAUACGUACCUCAUCAACAGAACUAUAAAGAUUUGUUUGACUCUUGAGCUGAAAGAAAAGAUAGCUUGCAUAUGCAAUCAGCAUUAUGCAGCUGCUAAAUCGUGAAAGAGCUAGCUCUGACUUGCCUUUAUGCACUUCUGUAUGAGUAAAGUGCAGAACUGCUGGAAAUAAUAAACCCAUGACGGCCAUUAAUAGCAAUCCUGAGUUCACCAGAGCAGCUGCCUGAAACAAUUUGACACAUAUUAGCAUUUCUGUACUCAGGCUAGGGGGAGAAAAAUGACAGACACAGUGGAUUCCUGCUUCCAUGGACAAAGAAAGAGCUCACUCCAUCAAAAUUUCAAUCAUAAAUAUAUUAGUCAGAAUAGCACCACCUUAUUAAAAUUCUGUACUUUAUGUUUAUGAACCACCCCACCACAGAAGAAGGCACAUCCAAGCACCAACAGCAUAUUGGACAAGAUGGAACCCAGUAAUGACUGCUGAACGACCCUCAUCAUACCAUUCUUCAACGCAUAUAUCGAAAUUAUCAUCUCCGUAGCGUUGCCAAAGGUUGCGUUUAGAAGGCCUCCAACUGCAGUUUCAACAAAAAAAUUAUUGAUGAUGAAGUGAAAUCUACUCGUUUAAUUAUAUAAUAAUCUGUUUGUAAUUCACCGAGAGAUGAAAUUGCUUGUUGAUCAAAAGAAUGUAUAAUCAUGCUUCUGGAAUUUUAUUUUUUUUGAGCAAAUAAUAGAACAAUAAGGAAAAAAUAUUGAGACAUGUCUGUAAUGAACGAGCUGACACAAGUUGAUUUCUAGCAUACAUCAAAUAUUAAUGUUUCCAACUCUUGCUGAAAUGAUAUUUCCAAGUCAAACUGCAUUCAAUUUGGCAAAUAAGAGAUGACCACAGCCCCAUUAAGCAAUGUAAAUAAUCUAGCAUAACUAACAAGACAAUCUCCCGAAAUCCAAUUUAACUCCUUCAAAAUGAAUCAUUGGUAUCUCUUAGAAUGAUAUCUCAGCAGACUUUUGACAAUCUCAUUUUUUUCAUCUGCUCCAUGUCAAGUGGGUCAAAUUGAUUCAAAAGACAGGUGACAAUCUACCCUUAUCUGUUUCCUUGCUAGUAAAAUUUGUUCUUUAGUGAACUUCACAUAAUUUGCCAUCGUAGGAUAUAAUUAAUCAGUAACAACUAUACAAUAAUCAGUAGUUCCUUCAAGAGUUUCGGGAUGUCUUCCUGGAGGACCUACCUGACCAGUUACCUCCUCUACGGGACAUUUAACAUUCCAUAGGUUUCGUCCCAAGAGAGUCCCUUUCAAAUUUGCCUCAUUAUAUGAUGAAUUCUACCAAGCAGACUGAACUCUAGAGGCUAGUAGAUGAACUCCUUCACAAAGGGUUUAUCCAAGAGAGUUUAAACCCUUUUAUAGUCUCUGUCCUAUUGACUCCUAAGAAGGAUGGUUCUUGGAAAAUGUGUGUGGAUAGUCGCCAUCAAUAGGGUCACGGUGAAGUAUCGCUUUCUCAUUCCUAGACUUGAUGAUAUGUUAGGUAUGAUGAUUGGUGCUACAAUAUUUUCUAAGAUUAUUUGAAGAGUGGAUACCAUCAGAUUAAGAUACAUCCAGGUGAUGAGUGGAAGACCGCUUUUAAAAUGAAGAUGGUCUUUAUGAAUGAUUGGUCACGUCUUUUGGAUUAAGCAACGCUCCGAGUACCUUUAUGCGGGCAAUGACACAAACUCUUCGACCUUUCAUAGGUAAGUCUCUUGUUCUCUACUUUGUUGACAUUCUUAUCUAUAGUAAGACUAAAGAACAACACCCAGCCCAUCUCACACAAGUUUGUUUUAACCUUCGUUCAAUAAAAUUGUAUGCUAACGUCAAGAAGUGCUCUUACUUCACUGAUAGAGUCAUUUUCCUAGAAUUCAUUGUAUUUUCGAUAGGGAUAUCUACCGACCCUGCAAAAAUUUAGGCGAUUGUUGACUGGUCUGAACCUAAGACUAUUCAUGACGUUAGGAGCUUUCACGGCUUAGCUACAUUUUACCGUCACUUUAUCAAGGAGUUUAGUACCAUCAUGACGCCUAUUACAAAGUGCAUAAAGAAAGGGAAGUUUCAGUGGACACAAAAGGCGGCUAAGGCUCUUAAGUUAGUCAAGAAGGGAAUGAUUGAAGCUCCUAUCAUGCAUCUUCUAGAUUUUUCUAAAGUCUUUGAGGUAGAGUGUGAUACCUCUGGGGUAGGAAUAGGUGAAGUCUUGAGUUGGGAUCGUCACCCUGUUACCUAUUUCAGUGAUAAGAUGCCAAACAGCGCUACUCCACUUACGAUAAGGAAUUAUACGCGGUUGUCCAAGCUUUGCGCUAUUGGCGUCAUUAUUUGCUACCCCAAGAGUUUGUUCUCUAUUCGGACCAUGAAGCCCUCCAUCACCUUAACUCCCAGAAAAGGCUAAACUCCAUGCAUGGUCGCUAUAUUGAAUAUUUGCAGGCCUAUUCUUUUGUCUUGAAACAUAAGUAGGGCGUGGAGAACAAAGCGGCUGAUGCUUUAAGUCGUCGUGUCUCUCUUUUUCGAUCAUGAACAUCAUCGUCGUGUCUCCCUUUUUCGAUCAUGAACAUCAAGGUUUUGAAAGACUUGAGGAGGAUUAUGAAACGUGUCCUAAUUUUAGGGAUAUCUUUCUUGUGCAAGAUGAAUGAUGUGACACUAUAAAUGGUUUUCUUCUUGAGAAGGGUUACCUUUAUAGAGCCAAUAAAUUGUGCAUCCCUCAAAUUUCAGCGUGGGAUUUCAUAGUGUGGAAGAUUCAUGCGGGAGGCUUAACUAGUCACUUUGGGCAUGAUAAGACCAUAGAAGAGGUUGAAUGCCAAUUCUAUUAGCCUAGUUUGAAGAAAGAUAUUACUAAGAUUGUUAAUACAUGUAACACUUGUCAAUUGGCUAAACAAAAGAGGCAAAACACGAGUCUAUACACACCUUUUCCCAUCCCUAAUUGUCAUUGGCAAGAUGUUAGAAUAGAUUUUGUGUUAGGACUUACACACACCCCAAAGAAACAUGAUACUAUCUUUGUGGUCAUUGAUCAUUUCUCGAAAAUGACCCAUUUUAUCCCUUGUAGGAAGACUUCAGAUGCGUUCAAUGUUGCUAAGUUGUACUUUAAUGAAAUUGUCAAGUUGUAUGGGCUUCCUAAAAUAAUUGUGUCAAAUAGAAAUGUUCGUUUCACUAAACAUUUUUGGAGAACCUAGAGGCCAAAGGUUGGUACCAAAUUGAAAUUUUCUACAGCCAACACUCUCAAACUGACGAUCAAAUAGACGUGGUUAACCGUAGUCUUAGUAAUUUGCUAUGAUGUCUAGUCAGAAAAAAUCUUAAAAAUUAGGAUUUGAUUCUUCGUACAGCGCAAAUUGCAUAUAACAGCUUCAUGAAUUGGUCAUUAGAUAUGAGUCCAUUUGAAGUUGUUCAUGGUGAUAAGCCUAGGAAGCCUUUAAAUCUCAUUCCAAUGUACCCGCAUGCUAGAGUGUUUGAGUCAGACGAGACAUUUGCACAACACCUUCAUGAUUUGUAUAUUGAGAUCAAUAAACAACUUGAAGCAAGUUAUGCAUCAUAUAAACUCUGAGCUGAUUUGCAUAAAAGACAUGUUGAGUUUAACAUUAGGGAUUACGUUAUGUUCCAAAUUAGGCCAGAGCGGCAUCUACCUGGACCUACCUCCAAAUUGCAAGCCCGUAGUGCUGGUUCUUCUAAAAUUUUAAAACAAGUGGAUCCAAAUGCAUAUAUUGUUGACAUCCCACCACACCUUGGAUACCACUCUACUUUCAAUGUUGAAGACUUAAUUGCUUACAAAGGUCAUUUUAAUCUCUUCGAUGAUCCUCUUUUACCUCCUUCUGUGGACCUUGAUCUUGAUUCUUUUGCCACUUCUAACCCAAUACCACCUCUCAUAGUACACAAAGAUAAAAUUGAUACUAUUUUAAAUAAAAAGACUGUGUUAACUAACGAUGGAGCGGUUCAACGCUUUCUUGUUCAUUGGGUUGAUUGACAAGAUUCUGACGGUAUAUGGAUCUCCAGAGAAAAACUACAGCAAUUGGACCCAAAUUUAUUGGAGCUUUAAUGAAGUCAGCAAGAUCUUCCUCGACCAAGAUCGCCUCACAUCCACUCAGGGGAAGAUAGUGAGGACACUAGAUUCAGACCUCCAUUGACACAUUUCUACGGACAUAAAAAAAAAUUGCCCAACCACUCAGCUUAUGGUUGGGAGAUUGACUACAGCUUCUCAUGAUCUAUCUAUGCGACAUUGUCGAGUUUUUUCUCCCACCCCAUGAGAGUUGAUUAGGACAUCCGUGUUACUUAUUUUCUAGUUGGACUUUAUUUAUUUAGGUUUUAAAUUUUUAUUAGGCUUGUAUAAAAGGUUUGGCCCAAACCCGAUCUCUUUAGGGUUUUGUUUCGCUAUUUAAGUUUAGUUGUCAUGGAAUUAAAACAGUUGAUGAAUGAAUAAAAUUAUUUUGGUGGCUUGUGGCAAUUUUCUACCUUUUCUCCAUCUUUCUUCUAUUGGUUCUUCUGUUGAUUCUUCUUUUACCCCCGUUCUUCCCUUAAUUUUCUCUUCUCCAUAGAUCUGUUCUUGUUUUUAAUUAAGUGUUCCAAUUGGUGCUGCAUCAGGUAUAAGUAUAAAACUUGAAAUGCAUCUCUAAAUUCGCAUCUACUGGGAUUUCUACACAAAUCCUUUGAACAAUAAGGUUUUCCGAAUAACCUCCAAGUUUCUCUUCAUGAGGGACUCCCCUUUAUAUGAACAAGGGACACAAAAAACUUUGAUACUAACUGAGUCCUGGAUCCAACGGUGCGACUUCAUGCACCAGUCAAGUAGAAUCCUCAUCAGAACCCUCAUCCAAGCACCACAAAUUGAAACAGAAUCAUUUCCUCUCUGAAUCUAUUGCCAAAAUCAAGUGGUUAACGGAUUUAUAAGAGACAAAUACAAUGCAGCUUUUGUUACAAAAGUUCUUUGAAAGUAUAACUUGUUACAUCCACCUGAAGCUUUUUUCCACCAGUUCUGUUAUGGACCAUUUCAAGUUGCCAGAGCAGCAAUUAAUAUACUUGGUUGACAUACCAAUACCAUCCUUCAAAAAUACCCUCUGAAAUCAACACUUAUGCGAACUCCUCAUGUGAUAAAACUUUCAAGCCUUAAUGAAUAUAUUAUGAUUUCCUCAAUCCUACCUCCACCAACAAUAAUGACAAUAUAAUUAGGUUGACUUAGCUUUGAAAGAAUUCCACGAUGUGAAUUCUAUGCCUGUAAUCUUCACCAUUAAAAUAUUUUUCAAAUUUUCAUACAACCUUCAUCUUUCUUUCUCCAGAUAAGUAAUAAAUUUUCCAACUGGUUGUCAUAAGCCCUGCUGUAGUUGGAGGAAAAAGGUUGACGCAUCCUCGCACCUUUUAGUUGAAUAUUCCCAAAAUACAAUUGGAAAGGAACCCUCCCAAAUGCAUUUCAGUCUAAAGUUUUGAAAAUCUAUUGGGUGGAAGUUAAUUGAGACAUUUAUGUAUAUUUAAAACAUUAGUUCCUUCAAGCAUCAUUUCCCUCAUGAUAGUAUAGCAACAUAAAAAACAGUUCACGGUCUAGCUAGGAGACUUUGAGAAUGACUACUUUGAAGGUAAAUUAACUAAGA